rnacentral:ncRNA from 1 species
UUUGAAGUGAUCCAUGCAGUGAAGGAAGCCAAACGGCAAAAGUCUGUACAGAGGAAUACAAAGCGCAUAAGAGGCUGGCUAAAUUGAGUAAGUAUGCACAGCAAUACGAAGCCUAGAGAAAACAGGUUUGUUUAGUAGAUGCAUCGGGGAUAGACGGAAAGACGAAGUGUU